rnacentral:rRNA from 1 species
GCACAGCUACUGUUGGGGAAUAUUGCACAAUGGGCGAAAGCCUGAUGCAGCGACGCCGCGUGAGGGAUGACGGCCUUCGGGUUGUAAACCUCUUUCAGCAGGGAAGAAGCGAAAGUGACGGUACCUGCAGAAGAAGCGCCGGCUAACUACGUGCCAGCAGCCGCGGUAAUACGUAGGGCGCAAGCGUUGUCCGGAAUUAUUGGGCGUAAAGAGCUCGUAGGCGGCUUGUCACGUCGGAUGUGAAAGCCCGGGGCUUAACCCCGGGUCUGCAUUCGAUACGGGCUAGCUAGAGUGUGGUAGGGGAGAUCGGAAUUCCUGGUGUAGCGGUGAAAUGCGCAGAUAUCAGGAGGAACACCGGUGGCGAAGGCGGAUCUCUGGGCCAUUACUGACGCUGAGGAGCGAAAGCGUGGGGAGCGAACAGGAUUAGAUACCCUGGUAGUCCACGCCGUAAACGUUGGGAACUAGGUGUUGGCGACAUUCCACGUCGUCGGUGCCGCAGCUAACGCAUUAAGUUCCCCGCCUGGGGAGUACGGCCGCAAGGCUAAAACUCAAAGGAAUUGACGGGGGCCCGCACAAGCAGCGGAGCAUGUGGCUUAAUUCGACGCAACGCGAAGAACCUUACCAAGGCUUGACAUAUACCGGAAACGGCUAGAGAUAGUCGCCCCCUUGUGGUCGGUAUACAGGUGGUGCAUGGCUGUCGUCAGCUCGUGUCGUGAGAUGUUGGGUUAAGUCCCGCAACGAGCGCAACCCUUGUUCUGUGUUGCCAGCAUGCCCUUCGGGGUGAUGGGGACUCACAGGAGACUGCCGGGGUCAACUCGGAGGAAGGUGGGGACGACGUCAAGUCAUCAUGCCCCUUAUGUCUUGGGCUGCACACGUGCUACAAUGGCCGGUACAAAGAGCUGCGAUGCCGUGAGGCGGAGCGAAUCUCAAAAAGCCGGUCUCAGUUCGGAUUGGGGUCUGCAACUCGACCCCAUGAAGUCGGAGUUGCUAGUAAUCGCAGAUCAGCAUUGCUGCGGUGAAUACGUUCCCGGGCCUUGUACACACCGCCCGUCACGUCACGAAAGUCGGUAACACCCGAAGCCGGUGGCCCUGAUCUGCUCUCUGGCUACAGAGCGAUCCGACAUGCUUACGGCACAGUUCUCAA